rnacentral:tRNA from 1 species
CCCUGUAGCUCAGUUGGUAGAGCAUGGUGUUUGCAACGCCAGGGUUGUGGGUUUGAUUCCCACGAGGG